CGAAGGGGGCUAGCGUUGUUCGGAAUUACUGGGCGUAAAGCGCGUGUAGGCGGUUGUCCAAGUUGGAUGUGAGAGCCUUGAGCUUAACUCAAGAAAUGCAUUCAGGACUGGAUGACUAGAGGACCGGAGAGGAUAGUGGAAUUCCCAGUGUAGUGGUGAAAUACGUAGAGAUUGGGAAGAACACCAGUGGCGAAGGCGGCUAUCUGGACGGUUUCUGACGCUAAGACGCGAAAGCGUGGGGAGCAAACAGGAUUAGAUACCCUGGUAGUCCACGCCGUAAACGAUGGGUGCUAGACGUUGGCGAGCUUGCUCGUCAGUGUCGCAGCUAACGCGUCAAGCACCCCGCCUGGGGAGUACGGCCGCAAGGUUG
rnacentral:rRNA from 1 species